rnacentral:rRNA from 1 species
GCUUACGGCCCUACCACCCUGAAUGUGCCCAAUCUCGUCUGAUCUCGGAAGCUAAGCAGGGUCAGGCCUGGUUAGUGCUUGGAUGGGAGACCGCCUGGGAGUACCAGGUGCUGUAAGCU